rnacentral:rRNA from 1 species
UACGAAGGGUGCUAGCGUUGUUCGGAAUUACUGGGCGUAAAGCGUGCGUAGGUGGUGAGUUAAGUCUGUCGUGAAAGCCCCGGGCUCAACCUGGGAAUUGCAUUCGAGACUGCGUAGCUAGGGUGCGGAAGAGGGAAGCGGAAUUUCCGGUGUAGCGGUGAAAUGCGUAGAUAUCGGAAGGAACACCAGUGGCGAAAGCGGCUUCCUGGUCCCAGCACCGACGUCAGGCACGAAAGCGUGGGGAGC